rnacentral:rRNA from 1 species
CUACGGGUCGCAGCAGUCGAGAAUCUUCCGCAAUGGGCGCAAGCCUGACGGAGCAAUGCCGCGUGAGGGAUGACGGCCCUAGGGUUGUAAACCUCUGUCAGAAGGGACGAAGAACGUGACGGUACCUUCAGAGGAAGCCAUGGCUAACUACGUGCCAGCAGCCGCGGUAAUACGUAGAUGGCGAGCGUUAUUCGGAUUUACUGGGCGUAAAGGGUCCGUAGGGGGUCUGCCAAGUCUGAUGUGAAAUCCUGCGGCUCAACCGCGGAACUGCAUUGGAAACUGGCGGACUAGAGUGUGCGAGGGGUGAGCGGAAUUCCUGGUGUAGCGGUGGAAUGCGUAGAUAUCAGGAAGAACACCGAUGGCGAAGGCGGCUCACUGGCGCAUCACUGACCCUGAGGGACGAAAGCGUGGGUAGCAAACAGGAUUAGAUACCCGGGUAGUC